UUUCCUGUGGCUCAGUCAGUAGAGCAUGGCGCUAACAACGCAACUGUCUUGGGUUCAAACUCCACCCAAGCCAA